rnacentral:pre_miRNA from 1 species
GGUCCAAACUUGAAGUAAAGUAGAUUAGUACGAUCAGUUGACCCUACUGAACUACUCUACUUUGAGUUUGGGCCC